rnacentral:rRNA from 1 species
CACGUAGAAGACUAGUGUUAUUCAUCUUUAUUAGGUUUAAAGGGUACCUAGACGGAAAAUCAAGCUAUAAUAAGUACUAAUUUUCUAGAGUUUUAUGAAAGAAGGGGUGAAUUUCCAGAGGAAAGUUGAUAUUUUGUGAUACUGGAAGGACGGGUAACGGCGAAGGCUGACCUUUAUGUAAAAACUGACUGUUGAGGGACGAA